GACGAACCGUGCGAACGUUGUUCGGAAUCACUGGGCUUAAAGGGCGCGUAGGCGGGUUUUCCAGUCCGAGGUGAAAGCCUUCAGCUUAACUGGAGAAGAGCCUCGGAUACUGGGAAUCUAGAGGGAGGUAGGGGGCCGUGGAACUUCCGGUGGAGCGGUGAAAUGCGUAGAUAUUGGAAGGAACGCCGGUGGCGAAAGCGAACGCCUGGAUCUCUUCUGACGCUGAGGCGCGAAAGCUAGGGGAGCAAACGGG
rnacentral:rRNA from 1 species